AGGUCUUAUUCAUGAUUGAGGAGUUUCAAUACAAUCCUUCUAGAAAAGAGCUCUGUACGACUGGGUGUAUCACAAGAAGCAAGAAUCAUUUCCUUCUAACAACAUGCUUUCUGUCACCUGCUCAGUUCUUGUGAUCCUUUUAAUGUACAGGAGGAGCAGUGGAGACUCAGUGACCCAGACAGAAGGCUUGGUUACUUUCACAGAAGGGGCACCUCUGAUCCUCAACUGUACUUACCAGAGCACUUACUCAAUUGCCUUUAUUUUCUGGUAUGUACAAUAUCUCAAUAAAGCCCCUCAGCUACUCCUGAAGAGUUCAACACAAAGUCCGAGGUCAGAGAACCGGGGUUUCCAGGCAACACUUGUUAAGAGUGACAACAGCUUCCACCUGCAGAAAUCUUCACUCCAGCUGUCAGACUCAGCUGUGUACUACUGCGCUCUGGGAGACACAGUGAGAAAGCUGUAGGUUCAGCUGUUCACAAACCAGGGUGCUGAUAGGCACAGUCCUGGGAAGAGAAAACUCUCCCCAGGAAGAGUUGAUGUAGCUUC